AGCAAAGGGUUGUGCCCAGGCUUUCGGUACAUCGAACGAAUUCGCAGUGUCAGACCGGCUCAAGGGAGUGGGGAACCGUUACGGGCAGAGCACGGGUAAAUGUGAUGCCCACAAUGGCACCCC
ncrna:unclassified sequences DTF3268 RNA